rnacentral:rRNA from 1 species
UACGUAGGCAGCAAGCGUUGUUCGGAGUUACUGGGCGUAAAGGGUGCGUAGGCGGCUUCUUAAGUCUGGUGUGAAAUCUCCCGGCUCAACUGGGAGGGUGCGCCGGAUACUGAGGGGCUAGAGUCCGGAAGAGGAGAGUGGAAUUCCUGGUGUAGCGGUGAAAUGCGCAGAUAUCAGGAAGAACACCCGUGGCUAAGGCGGCUCUCUAGUAGCGGUACCUGACGCUGAGACGCGAAAGCGUGGGAGCGACAGG